rnacentral:rRNA from 1 species
UACGUAGGGGCCUAGCGUUGUCCGGAAUUACUGGGCGUAAAGCGCGUGUAGGUGGUGGACAAGUCGUGCUGACUGGAAGCGCCUGGCUUAACCGGGCGAGGUCGGCGGAAACCAUCUGGCGUAGAGUCCGGAAGAGGAGAGUGGAAUUCCUGGUGUAGCGGUGAAAUGGCGCAGAUAGUCAGGAAGAACACCCGUGGCUAAGGCGGCUCUCUAGUAACGGUGACUGGACGCUGAGACGCGAAAGCGUGGGAGCGAACAGG